rnacentral:rRNA from 1 species
GACGUAGGGCGCGAGCGUUGUCCGGAUUUAUUGGGCGUAAAGGGUGCGUAGGCGGCGCGGUAAGUCGGGUGUGAAAUCUCGGAGCUUAACUCCGAAACUGCAUUCGAUACUGCCGUGCUUGAGGACUGGAGAGGAGACUGGAAUUUACGGUGUAGCGGUGAAAUGCGUAGAUAUCGUAAGGAAGACCAGUGGCGAAGGCGGGUCUCUGGGUCCCUACCGAGCUGGGGGUGCGAAAAGCAUGGGGGAGCGAACAGG